rnacentral:rRNA from 1 species
AGGAAAAGAAAUCAACCGAGAUUCCCUAAGUAGUGGCGAGCGAACGGGGACUAGCCCUUAAGUUGAUUUGAGUGUAGUGGAAGGCUCUGGAAAGUGCCGCCGUAGUGGGUGAUAGCCCCGUACACGAAACGCUCUUAUCAAUGAAAUCGAGUAGGACGGGGCACGAGAAACCUUGUCUGAACAUGGGGGGACCAUCCUCCAAGGCUAAAUACUACUGACUGACCGAUAGUGAACCAGUACCGUGAGGGAAAGGCGAAAAGAACCCCGGAGAGGGGAGUGAAAUAGAACCUGAAACCGUAUGCGUACAAGCAGUGGGAGCCUACUUUGUUGGGUGACUGCGUACCUUUUGUAUAAUGGGUCAGCGACUUAUAUUUAGUAGCAAGGUUAAGUGAAUAACGGAGCCGUAGCGAAAGCGAGUGUUAACUGCGCGUUUAGUUGCUAGGUAUAGACCCGAAACCCGGUGAUCUAGCCAUGAGCAGGUUGAAGGUUGAGUAACAUCAACUGGAGGACCGAACCCACUAACGUUGAAAAGUUAGGGGAUGACUUGUGGCUGGGGGUGAAAGGCCAAUCAAACCGGGAGA